rnacentral:rRNA from 1 species
AUUGAACGCUGGCGGCAGGCUUAACACAUGCAAGUCGAGCGAGCGGCGGACGGGAGAGUAAUGUCUGGGAAAGUGCCUGCUGGAGGGGGAUAACUAAGGGAACGGGUAGCGAAUCCGGAAUAUCAUACGAUAUGCCCCGAUGGGAUUAGCUAGGAGGUGGGGUAAUGGCUCACCUAGGCAACGAACCCUAGCUGGUCUGAGAGGAUGACCAGCCACACUGGAACUGAGACACGGUCCAGACUCCUACGGGAGGCCGCAGUGGGGAAUAUUGCACAAUGGGCGCAAGCCUGAUGCAGCCAUGCCGCGUGUGUGAAGAAGGCCUUCGGGUUGUAAAGCACUUUCAGCGAGGAGGCGUUACUCGCAGAAGAAGCACCGGCUAACUCCGUGCCAGCAGCCGCGGUAAUAC